GUAAUCGCGCAUCAGCCAUGGCGCGGUGAAUACGUUCCCGGGCCUUGUACACACCGCCCGUCAAGCCAUGGGAGUCGGGAGUGCCUGAAGUUCGUGACCGUCACAGGAGCGACCUAAGGCAAGACCGAUGACUGGGGCUAAGUCGUAACAAGGUAAC
rnacentral:rRNA from 1 species